rnacentral:lncRNA from 1 species
UCACCCCUAGAAAAAAAUAAUUACUUAUGCAAUCUGAAAAUGACUUAUGCAACUGACACACACACACACUAAGAAAGAGAAAAACAGACACAAACAUUGCAUAGUUCAAACACUAUUCAUUACUCAUGUUUUUUGUUUUUCCUCUUUUUACAUUCUCUAGUUAAUGUUGUUGUUCUCACCUUCUUCUCUCUCUCUCUCUCUCUCUAUGCUUCUCUGUCACCCACCACCACUCUCUUUAAUUCCCUUUGAAACCGUUGAACAUUUUUCAACAUUCACACUACCUUCCAUCACAUCUUCAUGAAUGAUAUACACCACUUGAUCAC